CACGUAGGGUGCGAGCGUUGUCCGGAAUUAUUGGGCGUAAAGAGCUCGUAGGCGGUUUGUCACGUCUGCUGUGAAAUCCCGAGGCUCAACCUCGGGCCUGCAGUGGGUACGGGCAGACUAGAGUGCGGUAGGGGAGACUGGAAUUCCUGGUGUAGCGGUGGAAUGCGCAGAUAUCAGGAGGAACACCGGUGGCGAAGGCGGGUCUCUGGGCCGUAACUGACGCUGAGGAGCGAAAGCAUGGGGAGCGAACAGG
rnacentral:rRNA from 1 species